rnacentral:rRNA from 1 species
UGAUCCUGGCUCAGAUUGAACGCUGGCGGCAGGCCUAACACAUGCAAGUCGAGCGGUAACAUUUCUAGCUUGCUAGAAGAUGACGAGCGGCGGACGGGUGAGUAAUACUUGGGGAUCUGCCUGAUGGCGGGGGCAACCACUGGAAACGGUGGCUAAUACCGCAUAAUGCCUACGGGCCAAAGUGUGGGACCUUCGGGCCACAUGCCAUCAGAUGAACCCAAGCGAGAUUAGCUAGUUGGUGAGGUAACGGCUCACCAAGGCGACGGUCUCUAGCUGUUCUGAGAGGAUGAUCAGCCACACUGGGACUGAGACACGGCCCAGACUCCUACGGGAGGCAGCAGUAGGGAAUAUUGGACAAUGGGCGCAAGCCUGAUCCAGCCAUGCCGCGUGUGUGAAGAAGGCCUUCGGGUUGUAAAGCACUUUCAGUGGUGAGGAAGGCGUUGUAGUUAAUAGCUGCAACGAUUGACGUUAGCCACAGAAGAAGCACCGGCUAACUCCGUGCCAGCAGCCGCGGUAAUACGGAGGGUGCGAGCGUUAAUCGGAAUUACUGGGCGUAAAGCGCACGUAGGCGGCUUGUUAAGCAAGAUGUGAAAGCCCAGGGCUCAACCUUGGAAUUGCAUUUUGAACUGGCAAGCUAGAGUUUUGAAGAGGGCGGUAGAAUUUCCAGUGUAGCGGUGAAAUGCGUAGAUAUUGGAAGGAAUACCAGUGGCGAAGGCGGCCACCUGGUCAAAAACUGACGCUGAGGAGCGAAAGCGUGGGGAGCAACA